rnacentral:rRNA from 1 species
UAGUUCGGAUUGUAGGCUGAAACUCGCCUACAUGAAGCUGGAAUUGCUAGUAAUCACAGGUCAGCAUACUGUGGUGAAUACGUUCCCGGGCCUUGUACACACCGCCCGUCACACCAUGAGAGUUGAGAAUACCCGAAGCCCAUGUCAAAGUGGUCGAAGGUAGGCUUGAUGAUUGGGGUGAAGUCGUAACAAGGUAGC